rnacentral:misc_RNA from 1 species
GUGAAUCAUCAAAUUUUUGAACGCAAAUUGCACUCCCCGGUAUUCCGGGGAGCAUGCCUGUUUGAGGGUCGUUAGAAUAAAAAAUCGAUGCGUCGCUCUUUUUUUUAAGGGUGAUCGCGUCGGAAUUGAGCCGUCUUUCAAAUGUUAAUUCAUGUCAAAGUGGCUUGAAAUUCAUCCAUCCGGUACGAUUGAAGCGUAUUUAAGAUCAAUUUUGAUGAGAACGGGCCGUUGCGUAACAUUCCCAGGAGUAAG